GGCCAAUCCAAUUUUUUCUUUCUUUCUCUGGUUUUCAAUUCUUUCAGGUCUCAUUUUUCUUUCAAUUCUUUUGCAUUAUCUUUUUUUCCAGACCUGCUCUUUUCUCUUUUCUCUUUUCUUUUUUCUCAACACAACCAGAUUGCUCUUCUUAUUUUUCUUUUCUUUUUCUUGGCCUUUCUUUUUCUCUUUUGCACUCACUAAGUUCCUAGAUCCUUCAUCCCUCUCACAGCUUCUACACGUUGGGUAAUGAUGGGGAAUAAGGCUUGUACUGAAUGGAAACAAAGAAAAUGGCUAAGGCUCAAAGUUAAGGUACAAUGGUCAGAACUGAAAUGGUAAAACUAAAUGGUUAUGGAUGGUAAGAAAGGAUGCCUAAAUCAUGUCUAGAGUCCACUAAGAGCAAGCUUUUCACAAAGAAUCAAUGCAAAAUCAGAAUGAAAAUUAAACAUG
rnacentral:lncRNA from 1 species